GGGCCCGCACAAGCGGUGGAGCAUGUGGUUUAAUUCGACGCAACGCGAAGAACCUUACCAGCUCUUGACAUUGCUAAGUCGCGAGUUUUAGAGAUAAAACUCUUCAGUUCGGCUGGACUUAGUACAGGUGCUGCAUGGCUGUCGUCAGCUCGUGUCGUGAGAUGUUGGGUUAAGUCCCGCAACGAGCGCAACCCUUGUCCUUAGUUGCCAGCAACUCGGUUGGGCACUCUAGGGAGACUGCCGGUGAUAAACCGGAGGAAGGCGGGGAUGACGUCAAGUCCUCAUGGCCCUUACGGGCUGGGCUACACACGUGCUACAAUGGCGUCUACAAUGGGUCGCAAUAGGCAACCUA
rnacentral:rRNA from 1 species